rnacentral:lncRNA from 1 species
UUCACAUGAAUUUCACAUUUCUAAACUCAACAAUUUUAAAGUUAUUUAUGAUUUAUAUUUCUAAUCUUUCACCUAAAUCUUAUCAAAACGACUUCUUUUAGCAACAUGAAGGGAGUAUAUGUAAUGCAAUGCAUGAACUAGGGUGACACAAUUAAAUAAGAUUUAAGUGUGAUUUUGCACCCAUUCAAUUCAAUGCAACCUAUAUGCCACAUCACCAACUAGGUUUUACGAAUCUUGUUAAAAAGCUGAGAAUUUUAACUUGGGGGCAUGAGUUUUAGGUAGAUUAAUUGUUCAAGAGGUGAUCGAGGAGAAUAGAAAAUUCAACAUUUUAUAUAGAGAUAUGGACCGUAACUCUACAAACACAUACUCCCUCCGUCCCAAAAAAGUGUCGUUUUAAGUUUUCGUGCCACAAGUUUGACUCGAUUUAUAGAAAAUAUGUGCAAUAUUUAUAUCUCUAAAUAGAUUUAUUAAAAAACUAGACUUAAAGAUCUUUCCAAUGAUAUUAAUUAUGUAUUAUAAAUAUUAAUAUUUUUUACUAUAUAUUUAGUUAAAGUUAUUUCUCGGGAAGGGAAAACGACACUUAUUUUGAGACGGAGGGAGUAAUGUUCUAAUUUAAAAUGAUUUACAAUUCCAAAAGCUUGGUUAUUCUUAUUGUAAAGACUAUUUUAGAAUUGUAUAAUAAAAAGUAGAUUCCAACAGAUGUGCUAUCUGGUUUUGUAAAAUAGAAAGUUAGCUAUCUCUUGAUUUUCGGUGGCCAUAUAUAGCCAACCACUAAUAGUGGCUAUCUGAUUUUGUAAAAUAGCAAGACUGUUGUGGACUUUUUCUUUUUUAAUUUUUUUUUUCUAUUUUACAAAAUGGCUAAAUAAUGAAAUUUGGCUACUAAUUUUAGCCAAACUCUUGGAGUUGUACCCUCAACCUAUACGCCAUAUCACCAAAUAUAUUUAGGAAAUUUGUUAAAAAAGCUGAGAAUUUUGGGCCCAUAAAUGUUAAAGUGAUGGCCGAAGAGAAUGGAAAAUUCAACAUUUUAUAUGUGGGUCUAUAAUUGUAAAAAAAAAAACUUUGCCUAUAUCGAUCCAAAAUUUCCCCAAACCUUCUCUCUCCUACUAAACUCAAAUCUCCAGUCAUAACAAGACUACUGGACUUAGAUACACUGCUAGAAAAGUCUAACGAUCAAGCAGAAGUAAGAACAAGUCAGGAAAACAUCUUGAAGCCCACAAAGUUGAAUUUUAGAUCAAGAGUCACGGAAGUCCUACGCUCACUCGCAGAAGUUCCGCACUCACAGGUGGAAGUUCUGCACUAGCAGAUUUCUGUGGGCUGAACCAGGAAAGAGAAUGAAGCCAAAUGACAUUUUGGACUUGAAUUUUGCACACUUCUCUCUAGGACAUGGUAAAAGUAUCCUCAAGAGAUCUUGACAAAAAGCUCAAAAAAUUUGGUCGGAGAUCUUUAAAUUCAACUCUCAAAUUGGGGUUUGUUAUUAUCAAAUUUCUUGAAAUGAACAAUCAAAAUGUGCUCGUGGGAAAUCUGUUGGAGGCAAAGCUUAAGCUUGUUUCCAAUACCUCAUGGCACCUAAGAACUAACAAAGAACACCUCAAAAACCUCAGCUCAAAGAUCUUCAAGAAUGUCAUCAAAAGAGGUAGAAAUAGGAGUUUUUAGAGACUUGAACUCUGGAGAUAAGCGCUAGGCUUUAAGCCAUGAUUUGGAUAAGUUCCAGGGUCCCAGAGCACCCCAAAAUUGAGCCUAAAACUCAGCCAAAUUAGCAGAUCGAAAAACAAAAGGUUAGGCACCAAUAAUCACAGAAAAAGGAAAAUUUUAGAUUCGAGGGAGGAGAACAAGUGGAGCUCGAAAUUGGGAAAAUUUUAGAUUCGAGAGAGGAGAACAAGUGGAGCUCGAAAUUGGUUUUUGGAUUACUUCAUGAUGUAGAUUAUAAGCCACUCCUAGUAUAUCUCAAAACUAUGGAUGGCAAAACUCAAAUCAAAAGAGCCUCUCCUGUGUCCAUCUUUCUAAACCUAACCAAAAACUUUCAACUAAACAAAUGAGAAUCUAAUUUUCAAGGGGCUUGGCUAACAAUC